AAUGAUCCUUCCGGUAGGGGGAACCUGCGGAAGGAUCAUUAGUGAAUAUAGGACGUCCAACUUAACUUGGAGUCCGAACUCUCACUUUCUAACCCUGUGCAUUUGUUUGGGAUAGUAACUCUCGCAAGAGGGCGAACUCCUAUUCACUUAUAAACACAAAGUCUAUGAAUGUAUUAAAUUUUAUAACAAAAUAAAACUUUCAACAACGGAUCUCUUGGCUCUCGCAUCGAUGAAGAACGCAGCGAAAUGCGAUAAGUAAUGUGAAUUGCAGAAUUCAGUGAAUCAUCGAAUCUUUGAACGCACCUUGCGCUCCAUGGUAUUCCGUGGAGCAUGCCUGUUUGAGUGUCAUGAAUACUUCAACCCUCCUCUUUCUUAAUGAUUGAAGAGGUGUUUGGUUUCUGAGCGCUGCUGGCCUUUAGGGUCUAGCUCGUUCGUAAUGCAUUAGCAUCCGCAAUCGAACUUCGGAUUGACUUGGCGUAAUAGACUAUUCGCUGAGGAAUUCUAGUCUUCGGACUAGAGCCGGGUUGGGUUAAAGGAAGCUUCUAAUCAGAAUGUCUACAUUUUAAGAUUAGAUCUCAAAUCAGGUAGGACUACCCGCUGAACUUAAGCAUAUCAAAAGNCGGGAGGAA
rnacentral:rRNA from 1 species